rnacentral:rRNA from 1 species
UACGUAGGGUGCAGGCGUUAAUCGGAAUUACUGGGCGUAAAGCGUGUGUAGGUGGUUUUCUAAGUCAGGUGUGAAAUCCCCAGGCUCAACCUGGGAACUGCAUUUGAUACUGGAAGACUAGAGUGUGGUAGAGGAUAGUGGAAUUCCCGGUGUAGCGGUGAAAUGCGUAGAUAUCGGGAGGAACAUCAGUGGCGAAGGCGGCUAUCUGGACUAACACUGACACUGAGACACGAAAGCGUGGGGAGCAAACAGG